rnacentral:rRNA from 1 species
AGACAGAGGUGGCAAGCGUUGUUCGGAUUUACUGGGCUUAAAGGGCGUGUAGGCGUCCUGAUAAGUCAGAUGUGGAAGCCCUGGGCUCAACCCAGGAAGUGCAUUUGAAACUGUCAGGAUUGAGUCAUGCAAGGGAGGGCGGAAUUCCUGGUGUAGCGGUGAAAUGCGUAGAUAUCACGAGGAAUACCGGUUACGAAGGUUGGCAGCUGGACAGGUACUGACGCUGAGGCACGAAAGCGUGGGGAGCAAACCGGAUUAGAAACCCGAGUAGUCC